UUUCCGUAGGUGAACCUGCGGAAGGAUCAUUAUUGUAUAACCGAGGUGCGAGGGCUGUCGCUGACCCGAAAGGUCGUGCACGCCCGAGUGCCCUCACACACAUCCAUCUCACCCCUAUGUGCACCACCGCGUGGGUCCCCCUUUGGCUCGUUCGGAGGGGGGCUUACGUUUUCACACAAACUUUGUAUGCAGUGUAGAAUGUAUUUUUUGUUUUUGCGAUCACGCAAUCAAUACAACUUUCAACAACGGAUCUCUUGGCUCUCGUAUCGAUGAAGAACGCAGC
rnacentral:misc_RNA from 1 species